rnacentral:rRNA from 1 species
AGUGAACGCUGGCGGUAGGCCUAACACAUGCAAGUCGAACGGCAGCACAGUAAGAGCUUGCUCUUACGGGAGGCGAGUGGCGGACGGGUGAGGAAUACAUCGGAAUCUACUUUUUCGUGGGGGAUAACGUAGGGAAACUUACGCUAAUACCGCAUACGACCUACGGGUGAAAGCAGGGGAUCUUCGGACCUUGCGCGAUUGAAUGAGCCGAUGUCGGAUUAGCUAGUUGGCGGGGUAAAGGCCCACCAAGGCGACGAUCCGUAGCUGGUCUGAGAGGAAGAUCAGCCACACUGGAACUGAGGCACGGUCCAGACUCCUACGGGAGGCAGCAGUGGGGAAUAUUGGCCAAUGGGCGCAAGCCUGAUCCAGCCAUACCGCGUGAGUGAAGAAGGCCUUCGGGUUGUAAAACCCUUUUGUUGGGAAAGAAAAGCAGCAGGUUAAUACCCCACUGUUCUGACGGUACCCAAAGAAUAAGCACCGGCUAACUUCGUG